GCUGAAACCAACUGGGUUGAAACCAUUGAAACCAAUAGCGACAACAAUGUAGAUGAUUCUCACAAACCCGUUGAUCAACAUACAUCCGACUCCACUACAUCAGAGAUAAUUGAAGAUCUUAAAGCGAGUGACAGCCUCGAUAAUGCCAACAAAUAUGGAAAAUCAACUCCUGCUUUGCUGAGCGGACUUCACACUUCAUUUAAACAUAAAGGACAAUUGCCGAGUUUUUGUAAAAAGAAAAUAAUCAUCCGAAGUCGCCGAAAAACUACCAUUACUGGAAAAAGAAGAUUAUUAGGAAGACCCUCCGAAGGUGGAAAAGUUCACAUGAAAGAAGCUCCGCAUUCUUUAAAUGCAUGUGUUUUAAAAGAACAGUCAAUAGGGGACACGAAGCAGAAAAAAUAGUUAACUAAAAUAUUUAACCGAAACUGUAUUUGAUGACAAAUAAAGCAUUUUAUUAAU